rnacentral:lncRNA from 1 species
ACAGUGACUGUGUGUCCCCCUAGAAACACACGACAAUGUUGUGGAGGCCAGUGGGAGUGAGAAGACCGAAGAGGAGGCCCCAGCCAGGGAAAAUGAGGAGGAGGAAGGCUCGCCCAAUAACAAGGUGGAGGAGGAGGCCACAACAAGUGGAAAUAACGAGGAGGAGUCCCCAGCCAGCGACAGGGCCGAGCAAGAAGCCCAGACUGCCCCCAAGGUGGACGGGAUGGACGAUGAAAGCCGUAAGUAUUCUGGAACCCGGCUCUGCUGAGGAGAAGUCCAGGUGUUGAGGAAGGGCGGGGGGUGCUUUCCUGCCCCUUUGGUUGCAGAGACACCCUGAUUCUGGGUUCCUCCUGGGAAAGGGGGUGAAGGAUGGGGUGAAAGAGACUGACUUCCCACAAAAGGGCCAUCCCAAGUCCUCGGGUCCCUGGAGGAAAGGAGGCUCUUUGUAUGGUGGGGGUAGGUGUCCGGGAACAUUGGGGGGUGUGCGUGUGAGGGCCUGUUGGUGUGAUUGUGAACCAGUGUGAGUGGGUGUGUUUUGUGGGGAGUCACUUGUGCCUUAGCACCACAUAGCUGUCCAGUUUCUCGUUGAACAGUCUCAUGAUGACCGCAGGCUAACUGUCCAUUCCCUCAUUCUCCCUGCACCCGCUGGGAGCAAGGUUUGGGGAAAAGGCUUUCCUUCCUCUGUUGGUCUUUCGUUUCCUCUUUUCUUCCCCCUCUGCUUGGUGCAGACUUUCAUGCUGUUGUUUCAAAUAUGUGCCGUGAACUCGAGCCUCUUGAGGUUGUAAGUGUCCCGAGGAGUGUUGUGAACGCUGUGCUCCCCCCGCACCUCCUGCCCACUCGGGGCAGCCACCCUUCCAGCCUCUGCUCAGGAGUGGUCUUUCAGACACCUCAUGUGCAUGACAUCAGAGAGUCUUUGUCCUUCUGUGUCUGACUGGCUUCACUUGAAGUGAUGUCCUCCAGCGAGUUCCUGUUGAGGCUCAGAGCUCAUGAACCUGACCAGUACCUAUGAGGACACGGGUUCGACCCUUGGCCUUGCUCAGUGGGUGAAGAAUCCCGCAUUGCGGUGAGCUGCGGCAGAGGUCCCAGACGCGGCUGGUAUCCAGCUUGGCUGUGGCUGUGGUGUCGGCCGGUGGCCACAGCUCUGAUUUGCCGCCUCGCCUGGGAAUUUCCAUCUGCUGCGGGGGCAGCCCUCAAGCCCAAAAGUGAAUCAGUCAAUAAUGUCCUGGAGUUCUCUGUGCAUUGCUGCAAUGGGUAGGGUUUCCUUCUUCUGUGACAACGGAAUACCUU